rnacentral:rRNA from 1 species
GAUGAACGCUGGCCGCGUGCCUAAUACAUGCAAGUCGAGCGAACAGACGAGGAGCUUGCUCCUCUGACGUUAGCGGCGGACGGGUGAGUAACACGUGGAUAACCUACCUAUAAGACUGGGAUAACUUCGGGAAACCGGAGCUAAUACCGGAUAACAUGUUGAACCGCAUGGUUCAACAGUGAAAGACGGUCUUGCUGUCACUUAUAGAUGGAUCCGCGCCGCAUUAGCUAGUUGGUAAGGUAACGGCUUACCAAGGCAACGAUGCGUAGCCGACCUGAGAGGGUGAUCGGCCACACUGGAACUGAGACACGGUCCAGACUCCUACGGGAGGCAGCAGUAGGGAAUCUUCCGCAAUGGGCGAAAGCCUGACGGAGCAACGCCGCGUGAGUGAAGAAGGUCUUCGGAUCGUAAAACUCUGUUAUUAGGGAAGAACAAAUGUGUAAGUAACUAUGCACGUCUUGACGGUACCUAAUCAGAAAGCCACGGCUAACUACGUG